UAUUCAUGCAGAGCAUCGAUGCA
rnacentral:snRNA from 1 species